rnacentral:rRNA from 1 species
UACGUAGGGUCCGAGCGUUGUCCGGAAUUAUUGGGCGUAAAGGGCUCGUAGGCGGUUUGUCACGUCGGGCGUGAAAACUCAGGGCUCAACCCUGAGCGUGCGUUCGAUACGGGCAGACUAGAGGUAUGCAGGGGAGAACGGAAUUCCUGGUGUAGCGGUGGAAUGCGCAGAUAUCAGGAGGAACACCGGUGGCGAAGGCGGGUCUCUGGGCAACAACUGACGCUGAGGAGCGAAAGCGUGGGGAGCGAACAGG